UCUUUGACGGUAAAAAUGCUGUAAUCAGCGGGCUACAUCAAAAAUUACCCUAAUUACGCCUGCAUUUAUGAGAAUGGGAGAGAGAAGAAGGAAAAAAAACCUCGUGGAUAAAACCCAUAAAUUGUCCCAAAUAUCUCGUCUGUAUUGAACAGGACUGCAGCUGGAUGCUUUGUUCAGAAUCGAUCCCGUGGCGUGUGGCAUCCACGGGUUUUCACAGUGAGAGUGGGCAAAGGAGGGACACAAAAAACUGUCAAUACUCCAGUAAUUGAGCUGGAAAAUGGCAAGGUUUACUGGACCAGACUCAGCUGGGAUAAAUAUUAACAGACGGACUGUGGGCAGCGCCUUCCCAUUGGUCAUCCAACCCAACGUCAUCACUACUACUGCCUUCCCCGAGACUUGCACGACUCCCCGGUGUGUCACCCCCGGGCCACUCUGCUCACCUGCCUGGGCCCUUGGUGUCCGCGUGAAUCAUGGUCACAGUGAUCCAACGUCUUCACACGACUGUACUGCCACUGGACGCAUCUUUGGAAAUUUGCUGAAACUACAAAAUCUCUCCUGUUUGCUUAUAAGGCGAAUGUCAC